CCCAGACUUACAUUUGUGACUAAUGUGUAACGGUUUGACAUGGGCUGGCAUUUAAAGGGUAAAUCUGGUGGAAUUUCUAGUUUGGUUUCCCCAUUUUUAC